UGGCUAGAGCUCCAAUUCGACCCCUAGCCUGGGAACCUCCAUAUGCCACAGGAACGGCCCUAGAAAAGGCAAAAAGACAAAAUAAAAAAAGAAAGAAAAUGUUCUCUCAGGCCCCAGGAAGGUGUCAGGGUAUGAGGGAAACACCGACGUGGACACCGAUGCACCUAGGAGAUCUGUGCACUCGUGUGUGUGUGUGAUUUAUGGGGAAGUGGCUCAAACACGUUAUGAAUCUGGGAGCUUUUUUCCUCCAGCUUGCCUGAGUCCUGACUUCAGAAGAUAAAUAAUGACAAAUCUGUAAAAUGUUAUGUUCCUUGCCACAUGGGCCUCUGCAACACGGCAGCCUGCUUCAUCAAAGCCAGCAAGAUGGUCAGCUGCAGCUUUGCUCCAGGACUCCUGCAUCCUGGGAGCCAGAGUGACAGAACAGCUUCAGGAACAUUAGCAGUUGUCCUGGCUUAGAGAAAAGGGAGAAGAAGUUUCUGCUCAAAGAUGACGCUGAAUGAAGUCCCUCCUUGGUACUCUGCUGACAGAGGGGCUCGUCUCUCUGGUCCACAUCGGUCUGGUGCUGAGUGGGGCUGGUGGAAGGUGGACUCAGCUGGUCCUGGGAGCUGAAGCAGCUGUCCGGCUUUGCAGCACAGCAACCUCAUGGUGGUAGAACUUCAUACCUGGUGCCUCAGGGUGGUUCAAAAUCCGAGAGCCAUCAAGUCCAGGGACCAGCGCUGUCCCCAGCACCCACCCAGGGACUGGAUUGUAUUCUACUCCCAAAGGCUGAUCUCUGCAGGUGGGUAAUAGUCAAUAGGGCCUGUGAUUCACAGGUAAAAGACUAGUCAGAGAAUUCUGGCUGAGAAUUUCAUGUUCAUAGAUGCACUUUUUGCCUUGCAGAGGGAUGUUUAGGUCAGUAAUUUUUUUUUUUUCUUUAAGGGCCGUCGGUACCCGCAGCACAUGGAAGUUCCCAGGCCAGGGGUCAAAUCGGAGCUGCAGCUGCUGGCCUAUG